rnacentral:rRNA from 1 species
UACGGAGGGUGCAAGCGUUGCUCGGAAUUAUUGGGCGUAAAGGGUAGGUAGGUGGUCUCAUUUGUCUGGGGUGAAAGCCUUGAGCUUAACUCAAGAAGUGCCCUAGAAACGGUGAGACUAGAGUUCUGGAGAGGGUCGUGGAAUUCCCGGUGUAGCGGUGAAAUGCGUAGAGAUCGGGAGGAACACCAGAGGCGAAGGCGGCGACCUGGACAGAUACUGACACUCAACUACGAAAGCGUGGGGAGCAAACAGG